GCCUGGCUGGCUCCAUUGGUGGAGCACAUGACUCUUGAUCUUGGGGUUGUGAGUUCAAGUCCCACUUUGGGUG
rnacentral:tRNA from 1 species